UUAGAAGUGACUUUUUCAAGAAAAUCAAUGUUUUAUCAAAGGGGUUAAUGUAAAAUAACAAAUCAAGUAGAACAGUAUGAAAAAGUUAAAAUUGGAUGUUCAAAGAUAUGCUGAAUACCUCAUUCGCGUGUGGAAUUAGUCCUUCAAAUUUUUGCUGAAGGUGCGUUUUUGUUAGGGUUCCGAUGAUCAGGUUUUAGUGAUCUUCUUUUGGAAACCUAGUUUACACUGUUAUCGCGCUUUAUUACGAGAUUUUAGCUUUGUUCAAUGAUUGUUUCCCUAUAUAGUAUUUGCGUAGUUUAUUUGACAACGUAUAAAUAAAUAUUAUAAAUGUG